UUGCUUCUAGUUUAUUUGAGAAUGCUGGCUUGUCGUGUCAGAGGGGUAUUGUUUUUUACGAAGCAAG
rnacentral:tRNA from 1 species